rnacentral:rRNA from 1 species
GCCAGCAGCUAUCAAUCUGCAGCUCUCACCUGGUUGCCCACUGAAGCUAAGCAGGGAUGAGCCUGGUCAGUACCUGGAUGGGAGACCUCUUGGGAAAAUGAGGUUGCUGCUGGAA